rnacentral:rRNA from 1 species
UAGGUGAACCAGCAGAAGGAUCAUGCCGGUCCGAAUUCGUCGACAACCUGGUUGAUCCUGCCAGUAGUCAUAUGCUUGUCUCAGAGAUUAAGCCAUGCAUGUCCAAGUACAUACCUUCAAACGGUGAAACCGCGAAUGGCUCAUUAAAUCAGCUAUUGUUCAUUGGAUCGUAAAAUACUACAUGGAUAACUGUAGUAAUUCUAGAGCUAAUACAUGCCAUUAUGCCCUAUGCCGCAAGGUUGUGGGUGGUUUUAUUAGAACAAAGCCAAUGGGUUGGGCUUCGGCCUUUCCCUACUGGUGAUGACUCUGGAUAACUUUACUGAUCGCAUUCGAAAGAAGGCGACGGAUCCUUCGAGUGGCUGCCCUAUCAAUUGUCGAUGGUAGGUGACCUGGCUACCAUGGUGAUAAGGGGUAACGGGGAAUCAGGGUUCGAUUCCGGAGAGGGAGCCUGAGAAACGGCUACCACAUCCAAGGAAGGCAGCAGGCGCGCAAAUUACCCAAUCCCGGCACGGGGAGGUAGUGACGAAAAAUACGGAGACGGGACUCGUAACGGGCCUCCGACAUCCGAAUGAGUGAAAUUUAAAUCCUUUAACGAGGAACAACUGGAGGGCAAGUCUGGUGCCAGCAGCCGCGGUAACUCCAGCUCCAGAAGCGUAUAUUAAAGUUGUUGCAGUUAAAAAGCUCGUAGUUGGAUCUGGGUCUCAUGGCUGUUCGCCGUGAUUGGCUUCAUGCAUUGAAUGUUGGUGUUAACGCGCCUUCAUUUGUGUUGUUGUUGGUCCGGUGUUAUGGUCGUGUAACCUUUCUGUCGUGUCUGUGCCUUUCUUCGGGAAGCGCAGGUGUUGGCCUUCUGUGUGUCGCAAGCCGUGCAGUUGGUUGGCAUGCUUUCGGGUGCUCUUUAUUGGGUGCUUGGAGCGGGCGGCAAGUUUACUUUGAACAAAUUUGAGUGCUCAAAGCAGGCCGUAGAGCCUGAAAAGUCUUGCAUGGAAUAAUGAAAUAGGACUUCGGUUCUAUUUUGUUGGUUUUCGGAUCCGAAGUAAUGGUUAAGAGGGACAAACGGGGGCAUUUGUAUGGCGGCGUUAGAGGUGAAAUUCAUGGAUCGUCGCCAGACAAACUACAGCGAAAGCAUUUGCCAAGGAUGUUUUCAUUGAUCUGGAGCGAAAGUCAGAGGAUCGAAGACGAUCAGAUACCGUCCUAGUUCUGACCAUAAACGAUGCCAACUGACGAUCCGAGGCGAGCUAAUUUUGGCCCCUCGGGCAGUCCCCGGGAAACCUUUAAGUCUUUGGGCUCCGGGGGAAGUAUGGUUGCAAAGCUGAAACUUAAAGGAAUUGACGGAAGGGCACCACCAGGAGUGGAGCCUGCGGCUUAAUUCGACUCAACACGGGAAAACUCACCCGGCCCGGACACUGUGAGGAUUGACAGAUUGAGAGCUCUUUCUUGAUUCGGUGGUUGGUGGUGCAUGGCCGUUCUUAGUUGGUGGAGCGAUUUGUCUGGUUAAUUCCGAUAACGAACGAGACUUUAACCUGCUAAAUAGUGUACUCGUCUUCUGUCUUGUUCAGUGUUCCUACUGCUUUGAUCCCUCGAGGGUUGAGGUGUUUGAAUUACUGGCUUGUACGGUGCGAGUGUCACUUCUUAGAGGGACAAGCGGCUUUCAGUCGUACGAAAAUGAGCAAUAACAGGUCUGUGAUGCCCUCAGAUGUCCGGGGCCGCACGUGCGCUACAAUGACGGUUUCAACGAGUAUGGGAACCUGGCCCGAAAUGGUUGGGUAAUCUGAGUCAUAACCGUCGUGACUGGGAUCGGGGUUUGCAAUUAUCCCCCGUGAACGAGGAAUUCCUGGUAAGUGCAAGUCAUAAGCUUGCGCUGAUUACGUCCCUGCCCUUUGUACACACCGCCCGUCGCUACUACCGAUUGAAUGGUUUAGCAAGGUCAUCGGAUUGCUUCAAUCAGUGGCGUAAGCUACACGAUUGAUGGUGAGAAGACGACCGAACUUGAUCAUUUAGAGGAAGUAAAAGUCGUAACAAGGUUUCCGUAGGUGAACCUGCAGAAGGAUCAAGCUGGA